AGUAACUCGGGGGCACAGGGCGGAAAGCAAGAGAUCCUCUUGCGAGUUCCGGCUUGGCGUCGCCAGGGUCUCUCGGCUGGGGCCUACCCCCAAAGCGAGGGAAAGCGGGGCGGCGGCGGGAGGGGNNNNNNNNNNNNNNNNNNNNNNNNNNNNNNNNNNNNNNNNNNNNNNNNNNNNNNNNNNNNNNNNNNNNNNNNNNNNNNNNNNNNNNNNNNNNNNNNNNNNNNNNNNNNNNNNNNNNNNNNNNNNNNNNNNNNNNNNNNNNNNNGACAAAGCGGCGACCGUCGGCUUUGGGCCUCGGGAAUCUUCCUGCGCUCGCCCCACUCGCCGCAGGUAAGGAUCCAACUUCAUCCUUUUACACGUGGACAUGCAGUUUACUCCGCAGCAUUUGUUGGAAAGACUGUCAUUUCCUCAUUGAAUGGUCAUGAUACCCUUACUGAAAAUCAUUUCACUGUAAAUGUGAGCAUUUGUUUCUGGAUGAUCUAUCUGUUCUGUUGGUCUGUAUGUCUUUAUGCCAGUACUACAUACGUAAUAGUAUGCCAGUACUAUUUUGAUAAUUGUAGCUUUGUAUUAAACUGAUGUUAAAUUAGCUCUUGAAGCUAGUAAUAUUUUGUACAUUUAUAUUCUGUGGUUCUGUUGUAUGUAUAUGCUGUUGAGAAAAUAAAAUAAAUUCAUUUAACUUCUAUACAUCUUGAUUGUGGAGAUGAUUACUCUGCUGUCUGAGUUUGUUAAACCUUAUGUAUGGAAUAGUACACCAGAGUCCAUUUUACUGCAUGUGAAAGUGAUAAAAUAGGUAAAAAAUAAUUGUAUCCAAGGCCAAUUAUCGUUUCUGCUUUUCUCAGCUCAAAUCAUUUUUUCCUUGUGAGUGAUUGUGAAGACACACCUUUAAAAAGUAUUCAAAGAACUUUGGUUAUAAUGUAUAUGUUGGAGGAUUUAAGUCUUACUAGUUCCUUCUGUUUUCUUUCUUUUUUUUCCUUCUUUUAAGAAAAAAAGUUAAAGUUGCGACUAGUGGCUCAGUCAGUUGGGCGUCUCCUUUGUCGUGGCACUGGGUGUGGUCCCAGGGUUCUGGGAUCCAACCCCUGCUCAGGGUGGAGCCUGCUUCUCCCUCUUCCUCUGUCCCUUCCCCCUGCCUUUGCUUGCGAGUGCACGAAUUCUCUUUCUUUCUCUCACUCCUGUGCGUACUCUCUGUCAAAUGAAUAAAAAAGAACAAUAAAAAACAACAACAACAACAAAAACAUAAGUUAAACACAUUAGGCAUCUGGGAGAGCCUCUCCGAGCAGCAAUUCCUAAAAUUCGGUCAGAUGCCAGUGUGCUAGCUUCCAGACCUUGAGGGUGUUGUUCCUGUAGUGUGUUCUUUAGCUUAGCCCCCCACAACGUGGGCCUGGCUUGAAGGUGAACAAUUUGCCUUGACUUGCCCUGCCUCAUGAUGUUUGUUCCCUUGCAAGAACACUAUACUAAAUUUAUGCAUUAUUGAAAGUUCAAAGUGUGCAGAAAUACCAUGCUUCAGAAUAAAACUUCAACAUUGCCCUUUCUCUCUUAGAGCCUCUAAAAUGUUCAUUAUUUUCAUCUUUAGUUUUUUUUCUAUAAUGCCAAACUUUUUCUCCAUGUGCAAGCAUGCCCCCAACCCCAUUUCUAAUGGAGCUUGAAAUUAACAUGCAUUUCUAUUUACUUGUUGAUGGACUGUCAUCUAUCAACCCCACUUUUUUUUUUUUAAAGAUUUUAUUUAUUUAUUUGACAGACAGAGAUCACAAGUAGGCAGAGAGGCAGACAGAGAGAGAGAGAGGAGGAAGCAGGCUCCCUGCUGAGCAGAGAGCCCGAUGUGGGACUCGAUCCCAGGACCCUGAGAUCACGACCUGAGCCGAAGGCAGAGGCUUAACCCUCUGAGCCACCCAGGCGCCCACAAACCCACUUUUUGAUUGUGAUUUAAUUUUUGCUUUUUCAGUGGCUCAGGGUUAUAGUAAUGCACAUAAUGUAAAUAUGAUUUGAAAGGCAGGUUGGAGUGUUAUAUUUAUUUGCUUAUUUAUUUAUUUAAAGAUUUUAUUUUAUUUAUUUGACAGAGAGAGUGACAACUAGAGAGGGAACACAAGCAGGGGGAGUGGGAGAGGGAGAAGCAGGCUUCCUGCCAAGCAGGGAGCCCAAUGCGGGGCUGGAUCCCAGGACCCUGGGAUCGUGACCUGAGCUGAAGGCAGACACUUAAUGACUGAGCCACCCAGGCGCCCCUUGAGUGUUACUUUAAGUGUUUGUAAUAAAGAUUGAUCAUUUGGAAUGUGAUGUAGUUUUUAAAAUUCCUUGUCAUCUGUCCCCUGUUACAGUUGUAGUAUAGGUAGAGCAGGAAUUACAUUGUGGAAGUUGUUAUGAUUUUAUGCUGUAACCUUUUUUUUUUUUUUAAGAUUUUAUUUAUUUAUUUGACAGAGAUCUCAAGUAGGCAGAGAGUCAGGCAGAGAGAGAGAGGAGGAAGCAGGCUCCCCGCCAAGCAGAAAGCCCAAUGCGGGGCUUGAUCCCAGGCGCGAUCUGAGCUGAAGGCAGAGGCUUAACCCACUGAGCCACCCAGGCGCCCCCCCCCUGCUUUUUUUUUUUUUUUGAAGAUUUCAGGGGCUUUAUAGAAGAAACAAACUCUCAUUUGCUUUAGAAGUUUUUAAUGAAUAAUGUAGUCCAAUAUAAUUUUGGUGUUAAGUAACUGGUCAUACUCCUUAAUUGCUAACUUAAAGGCUAGUUCUUUCCUGGAUUGCUUAGUUUGGCUACUGCCAUUUUAUUGUAGUGAGCUGUAGAUUUCCCUUGUUUUCUUAUUCUGAGAUUUGAUUAGUAAAUGUUGUCAUAAAUAAGUGAACCAUCAGUUGCAUUUUGAAAGUGUGUUAUUGCUAUGGUUUUUUGCUUAAUAUUUGGCAUUAUGAAUUGAAAAUGGGAGUUAGAAGCCUGUUAAUUAUCAGGUUACAUAAUCCUGUACUGGUUUAUUAACCAGGUAGGACUGCAGACUGUUCUUGAAAUUGAAAGUGCUAUCAUAACUCAGGAAAUGUGGCCCAUUUCAAGUGACAUGAAGGACAAGAGCCUUUGCUAAUAGUCCAUUUACCCUGUGCAGUUCUGAAAGAUGCUUUUCUUUCCAAGCAAACAUGUAUUAUUACUAUUCUCCCAUAGUGUGUUGAGUAUUUCAUUAUGUUAAAUAUUUCAAUGUUAAUCUAGACUCUUAAUCGUGGUUUGUGAAAAAUGAUAGUGUUGUGAAUAAGGCAGAAACUGAAAGGGUAAGUUAUUUGUCAGUGUUCAUGGGGUGUGCUCUUCUGGGGUUUGAUCUCUGAAUUGGCAAAGGUUUCUUAGAAUUCAUCUGUUAUCAUUUUCUUGCUUCCUUGGACCUGGGGUCAUCAUGUUCUCAGAAAAGCUGUAGUCUGACUUUGAAGUAUAUCUUUAGAAACCUGUCAUUUUGCAGAGAAGCUGCUAAAUGAAAUGUGAGCUUGAUCCCUUGGGAGGAGGGGGAAAAAAACCAAGGGAAUGGAAGAUGGCAAUAUCUGAGAGAAAUUUAAACUUCUUUCUAGUCAUUAAGAUCAGUGAAAGAUGGAAUGUUUUCUAGUUUGUCUUUUUUGAGGCAGGUCAAAGGCAACCUUUAGUUAGCUGUAUCUUAGUAACAGUGGGAAGCGUUCAGUUAAAUGCAGUAUACAUUUAUUCAAAGUCUGCCUUUCAAAGCAGGCGUUAGGAGAUGUUAAGAAUUUACAAGUCACCAUUGCUAACCUCAAGAGUUUACAAACUAAUGGGAUUAUUAGUCUAAGUAAUCACUGGUAGGUAAGAAUUAGGAAUCUAUAGUUUUGCUAAUUUAUAACACAUUUAAAAAAAAUUUAUUAAUUUUAUAGAGAAUUUGUGCCAGCGAGCAGGGGUAGGGGAGGACGGGUGGACAGAGAAUCUCAAGCAGAUGCCCCCCCCCCUGUCCCCGAGUGUGGAGCCCUACAUGGGGCUUGAUCCCAGGACCCCGAGACCAAAUUAAGACUUAAAAUCAGUGGGGCACUUAGGUGGCUCAGUGGGUUAAGCCUCUGCCUUCAGCUCAGGUCAUGAUCUCAGGGUCCUGGGAUCGAACUCCCUGCAUCAGGCUAUCUGCUCAGCAGGGAACCUGCUUCCCUCUUUCUCUCUGAUUGCCUCUCUGCCUACUGGUGAUCUCUCUCUCUCUCUCUCAAGUAAAUAAAAUCUUAAAAAAAAAAAAAAAAAAAAGUUAAAAUCAAGAGUCGGAUGCUUAACCGACUGAGCUGCCCAAGCACCCCGAGAAAAACAUUUAUUUCUUCCACAAGUGUCUGUUGCUAGAUGAAACCGGAAACUGUCAAGCCAGUUGUUGAACAUUUAUAGAAUGUUGUUAGGUGUAAAAUUACCAUACUCAAGAAAGCCAUGGUCACUGUGCUCAAAGGGAAGCUCCCAGUUUCCUGGGAAACAGAUGCACUGACCUAGCGCUAUAAUGGAGAUGCGUGUGAAGUGCUCGAGGGACUCAGAAAAGAGGUAACAGCUCUUUCUGUGGGAUUAGAGGAAAUAUGUGUGUCUUGAAGGAAGAUGGAAAAGUCAGGAAAGGUGCUCUGGCCUAGAGAGGGUUUAUAAAUAGGUCUGGACACAUGCAUGUGCAUUGGAGAAGUUUCACAGAGUGGAUGGAGGUGAUGAGUCUCAGGCUAGUGCCGUUCAAGUUUGUUUAUAGGAGUUUGGGCUUCAUCCUGUUUGUGGUGGGGAAGUAGUCCUCUUUUUUUUUUUUUUUUUUUUCAGGCGAGAGUAGACUUUAUGGUAAGUGAGGCAGUCUGGAUGAUGAUUGGAAAUGAGAAGAUAUAUAUGUAUAUUUUUUA
rnacentral:lncRNA from 1 species